rnacentral:sRNA from 1 species
CAUGGAUAAGAAGCGAUUCAGCUUUGUCUUCAAGCCCAUCUUCAACACCUCACUGCUCUUUCUACAGUGUGAGCUGACGCUGUGUACGAAGAUGGAGAAGCACCCCCAGAAGUUGCCUAAGUGUGUGCCUCCUGACGAAGCCUGCACCUCGCUGGACGCCUCGAUAAUCUGGGCCAUGAUGCAGAAUAAGAAGACGUUCACCAAGCCCCUUGCUGUGAUCCACCAUGAAGCAGAAUCUAAAGAAAAAGGUCCAAGCAUGAAGGAACCAAAUCCAAUUUCUCCACCAAUUUUCCAUGGUCUGGACACCCUAACCGUGAUGGGCAUUGCGUUUGCAGCCUUUGUGAUCGGAGCACUCCUGACGGGGGCCUUGUGGUACAUCUAUUCUCACACAGGUUAGUGUGACUGUUGAGUAUGAGUUGGUGAACAGCUUGUGUUCCUGCCACACAAUAGACACUCAGUGUUUUGUUGGAUGAAAUAACGAAUGAAAGAGAAAGUUCAUUCCUACUAUUUUUACAUUUACAUAUUUGGUAUAAAUUGGGUUUUACAAAAGUAUAAUUUGCCAUAAACAGUGGAA